rnacentral:lncRNA from 1 species
GCCGGCGCCAGCUGGCCCCCUGCACGUCGUGGCUCAUCUCGGCGUCUUGAAGCUGCUUCUGGAGGUCGGAGACCUUCUGCGACCACUUCUGUUCAUCAUCAACCCGGGCCAAGAGCCGGGAUGAGUUUCCUUCUAGAUGGCCGAUCUUCCUCUUCGCGGCUGAUAGUUCCACCUUAAGGGCGCUGAUCCUAGCUUCUUGAGCCCAAAUUCGGUCGCUGGUGCUCU